GAUGAACGCUGACAGAAUGCUUAACACAUGCAAGUCGAUGGGGAAGUGGUGCUUGCACCAUGGUAACCAUGGCGGACGGGUGAGUAACGCGUAAGGAACUUGCCUGCGGGACUGGGAUAACAGCAGGAAACUGCUGAUAAUACCGGAUAAGGUCAUUAAGCUGCAUAGCUUAGUGAUGAAAGGAGACGCCUGCGGAGAGCCUUGCGUCCUAUUAGCUAGUUGGAGGGGUAACGGCCCACCAAGGCGAAGAUAGGUAGCCGGCCUGAGAGGGUGGACGGCCACAAGGGGAACGAGAGACCGCCCUUACCACUACGGGAGGCAGCAGUGGGGAGUAUUGGACAAGGGGGGCAACACUGAUCCAGCAAUUCUGUGUGCACGAAGACGGUUUUCGGAUUGUAAAGUGCUUUCAGCAGGGAAGAAGGAAGUGACGGUACCUGCAGAAGAAGCGACGGCUAAAUACGUG
rnacentral:rRNA from 1 species